UGGGGAAUAUUGCACAAUGGGCGCAAGCCUGAUGCAGCCAUGCCGCGUGUGUGAAGAAGGCCUUCGGGUUGUAAAGCACUUUCAGCGAGGAGGAAGGUGGUGAGCUUAAUACGCUCAUCAAUUGACGUUACUCGCAGAAGAAGCACCGGCUAACUCCGUGCCAGCAGCCGCGGUAAUACGGAGGGUGCAAGCGUUAAUCGGAAUUACUGGGCGUAAAGCGCACGCAGGCGGUUUGUUAAGUCAGAUGUGAAAUCCCCGGGCUCAACCUGGGAACUGCAUUUGAAACUGGCAAGCUAGAGUCUCGUAGAGGGGGGUAGAAUUCCAGGUGUAGCGGUGAAAUGCGUAGAGAUCUGGGGAAUACCGGUGGCGAAGGCGGCCCCCUGGACGAAGACUGACGCUCAGGUGCGAAAGCGUGGGGCAGCAAACAGGAUUAGAUACCCUGGUAGUCCACGCUGUAAACGAUGUCGAUUUGGAGGUUGUGCCCUUGAGGCGUGGCUUCCGGAGCUAACGCGUUAAAUCGACCGCCUGGGGAGUACGGCCGCAAGGUUAAAACUUAAAUGAAUUGACGGGGUC
rnacentral:rRNA from 1 species